AAGUCACUUUUUUUUCCAGUGCUGUUGUAACUUUGAAUAGUCACUAAAUGUAUUGUUGACUGCCUUUAAUUGCAAAGAGGAAUCUUGUGGCAUGAUUCAGGAAGAAGAAUUGAAACCAAGUGUUUAUUCAGGCCCUUGCAGAAGUGCCCUGAGGACCAGAUGUUUUAAAAUCCUCUUGUCUCUGACAAUCCACCAUGUUACAUGGAAGGCAUGUAAAAGGCUGGGCAAAGAAGCAAUGCCAAGGGAACAGUCACAUAAGAGAUGACACCACAGUGGUGGGAUUCUACCAGUUUCCCUACCGGUUCAGUGAUUGUGCACUUCGCGCGUAUGUGCACACACACCUAACGUACAUGCACAACUUUCCAAACAGCAGCUGAGGUUCUGCCGCGCCAAUCAGCGGAGAGAAUAAAGAACAGAAAAGCACAGGGGUGACUGGGCGGG